GACGAACGCUGGCGGCGUGCUUAACACAUGCAAGUCGAACGGAAAGGCCCUGCUUUUUUGGGUUUCUCGAGUGGCUAACGAGUGAGUAACACGUGAGUAACCUGCCCUUGCCUUUGGGAUAACUUCAGGAACCUGGGGCUAAUUCCUGAUAUGAGCUCCUGCUGCAUGGUGUGGGUUGGAAAGUUUCGGCGUUUGGGGAUGGACUCGCGGCUUAUCAGCUUGUUGGUGGGGUAUUGGCUUACCAAGGCUUUGACGGUUAGCCGGCCGGAGAGGGUGACCGGACACAUUGGGACUGAGAUACGGCCCAGACUGCUACGGGAGGCAGCAGUGGGGAAUAUUGCAAAAUGGGCGGAAGCCUGAUGGAGCAACGCCGCGUGCGGGAUGACGGCUUUAGGGUUGUAAACCGCUUUCGCCUGUGACGAAGCGUGAGUGAAGGGAAUGGGUAAAGAAGCACCGGCUAACUACGUG
rnacentral:rRNA from 1 species